rnacentral:lncRNA from 1 species
AUUAUGAUUGCACUGCCUAUAUUACUAAAAUUGUAUCUACCGCUCUAAAAACUUCUUGCUUGGAAUAAUUACUUUUUUUAUCCCUAAGCUACGUGCUAAACACUAUUGUUGUGCUCCUUUUCUGUAAAAUGUGACUAAUGUUGUCCCAUUUCUGAAUUGAUUACAUAAAAUUUAUGCAACUUUUUAAACCUUAAAUAAACUAUCAUCUAUAGAAUUACUUUCAUGCAUAUCAUUGAAACCAUUGUCUGACUGAAGUAAAUGAGUUGAUAUGACUUUUGUUGUCAUGGUAGACUUCUUAAGUAGUCUGAAUUGUCACAUUAAUGAAUUAAUUAUUGUGGCACAUGGUAUCAGUCUAUGAAGGCACAGUGGUGGUGUUUAAAAGAAUAAGAUAAAAAUAGGAUUCCUUAAAUAUUCACAUAGGUUAUUUAUUAUUCUUAACAUUACAGGACAUUUCCAUUUGUGAGCGGAGAAAUGAGAGUCUAUGGAAUGCACUUACUCAGCUCACUCAGCCUUAGGCACCAUGUAAUCCAACUGGACCAUGAUCACGUUUGUAAUUAGAAGCCUGCAUCAUCAAUCACCAAUUAUUACAGACGAGAAGAGAUGACAGCUGACUCGAUUCUGACUUGAAGUGUUGGUCUUCCUGAUCUAUCACAAUCUGAAGAGCCCCUACCACAUAUACCUGCUGCCAGGAUUGACCUACCUAUUGCCUCUGCUGAGACCUAUGAUGCAAUACGUUGAACAACAGCUCCUCUGCUCCAUCUAUAGUCUACUUGGAAUUGCCACUUAAGCGAACUCACCAAGAACAAUGCUUCCUGGACUCCAUCCAGGUGCCAGAACAUCUCCAUCCAGAUGCCAGAACAUCUGAACCAGGCUUCAGAAUGAAGAGGGAGACAACGUCAAUCCAGGAAGCAAUAUUCAAAAGCAUUUCUUAAGUGCAGUUUCUGUACCCUCCCCUUUGGGAAAGAGAAAACAUCUUGAUCUCAGGAAGUUUGAACAAGCGCUACUCAGCAAAUCUUGCCAUGGUUACUGCGCCACAUGUGGAGUGAGACGAGG